rnacentral:lncRNA from 1 species
AUUAAGGAGUUGCAUUUCAUAGGCAAAUAAAGCUUCUCUCACCUCAUAGACUCAAUGAAUUCUUCAAGUAAGCUUUUAAAAAAUAUUUUGCUAGGUGAGGUGGGGCACCACUAUGAUCCUAGCUAUUUGGGAGACUGAGACAGGAGGAUAGUAAGUUUGGGGCCAGCCUGGACAAUGUAGUGAGAUCCUGUCCCAAAAUAAAAUUAAAAAGGGCCGGGGAUAUAGCUCCGUGGUAGAGCACCCCUGGAUUCAAACCCAAGUAACUAGGGGAAAAAAAGAAAAAGGAAAAAGAGAGAAAAUGACAUGUCUCUUCUGUCACCAUUCACUUUACUUCAAUCAAAUCUAACUGGAUGUGGCAAGCACCUGAAUGGAACUGUAUUUGUUUAAUAUUGCUGCAUUGGUAGGGGUCUCUACUAAGAGGCUGGGAUGCCUCUAUUUACUUCCUAUUUACUUACUCACCUAGCUCACAUUUUUUAUUUAAUUGUGUGCCGGGCACUUUUUUAGCUGUAUAGACAAAAGAUCAUUUUAAUGGCCUUAACAAGUAGUAUUUGUUGAUAGGAAAUUCCCACACAAAACAUCUAACUUUUUGCAAGCUUAAGAGGCAGAUGUUAUUCUCGUCUCUGGUUUGUAGAUGAGGGUAUCAGACAUCUCAAUUUUGAACCCUUUCCUUCCACCUUUUUACUCCAGUGGAAAUGAAAUGAGUUGUAACAAAAUAAGACCAUGCAGGCUGGCCCAGCUACACUCGGGGGCAACUGGUCAAGGUCUGGCCACACUCCUGCUUCCUGCCCUGGGAAGUCCCAGACACCUAAGAUGGAGGGCCUGUGGCAUCCACUGGAAGCUCAUAUAUCCACAGCUAAGAAAUGGAAGAGAUCCACGCUCACACAGGCUCCCGUUACCACUGGGGGAUGGACCAACAGAUAAAUGCUUCUCUGAGUCCUCCGAGACCCUUUCAUAGGCUCUUGCUGAGGCCCCAUGGCCCACUGCCAACUCAGCAGUGCAUCCUUGCAUGGGCCUUUCUUCUUCCCCAUUCUGCUUCCUAUCCCUCACUCCUACUCCUGGGAUCUCUUCUCCAAUCAGCUACUUGCACACCAGACUUUCUACCUUAGGCUCUACUUCCAGGGAACACAGAUUAAAAUCAUGAGAUUAGAAGGUUAAAUAUCGCAGAGUUUAAGGAACUCUGGGAUUCACAUUCGGUCCCUCUGACUCCAAAUUCCGUGUGCAUUUCUCUUUGUUCUACUUGUAUUGAGCAAACUAAUGGUCGGUGUGCACAGAGGCCUGGAUACACCAAUAACUAACUGCAAAAGGUAAGUGUCAAAUGGAAAACAGGAGCUAUGACAGUAGGUCUCGUGUGUGGGCUGGUCAGGGAAUGCUCACAGAGCAGGUAACAGAGAGGCCUUUCCUAACAACAUUCCAUCAUUUUUAUCUCAGAGCAUCAUUGUUUUCUUCUAUCCUUUAUCACAAUGUGAUAAUACAUAUUUCUUUCUGUUUACUCUCUCUGCCCUCUCAGGGUAGGGAUCAUGUCAGGUUUGUUCACACAGAAACAUAAUAUCCACAGCAUCUAGCACAGUGCCCAGGACAUAGAUGGCAAAUCAAAAACUCAGUCAUAAUUGUUAAACAAAUAAAAAAAUUGUUGAUAAAGAAUAAAUGAAUGCCAUUAAAGGCAAAAUGAAUAGUAAAAACAAGAAAUGAAAGAGUAUGUAAAUAUAACCUGUUCAGAGAAAGUCUGUGACUGGUUAUGUAGGAUGCAUUUGUGGGGAAGGGUUGCAGGGAGUGGCUGCAGAAAAUACAUCUUGCAGUAACACUGAGGCCAGAUAAGCAUUAUAGUCCCAUUCUUUGUGAUGAAGAUAAGAUUGUCCGGUAACUGGUUACAUAACUUGGGUUCUCAUGUGUCUGCUAUUUCCUGCAUUCAAGUGUGCUUUCUUCUCCACUUGGCAACUGAAACAGGACCAGACCUUGUUUACAGGUGUGGGUCUUUUAAUUUCAGGUUUGCUUGAUCUAAGCUUGAUUCUUUCCUGGCAGUUACCUGAUGCAUUUUGUAAAGUUGGGUGUUGGCAAAAUCCUGUCCUAAAUCUCUCCCACGGAUGGUACUACUGGCUCUGUCUGCUUUUGAGUUACUUGUCUAGGAGUCUUGCUGUUCUGUGCUCUCUGUCUUGCCUUUCCUAUCUGAACUUGUUACAGUUUGGAUGUGAGAUGUCCCCCAAAAGCUCAUAUGUGAAUAGUGCAAGAAGGAUCAGAGGAGAAUUGAUUGGGUUGUGAGAGUCUUUACCCAAUCAGUGAAUUAAUCCCCUGAGAGGGAUUAACUGAGUGGUAACUGAAGUGGUAGGGUGUGGCUGAAAGAGGUGGGAAUUGGGGGUGUGACUAUGGGAUAUAUUUGUAUCUGGAGAGUGGGGUCUCUCUCUGCAUGCUUCCUGACCACCAUGUGAGCUGCUUCCCUCCACCACACUCUUCUGUCAUGAUGUUCUGCCUCACCUAGAGCCCGAGGAAUGGAGCUGGAUUUCUAUGGACUAAGACCUCUGAAACCAUGAGCCCCUAAAUAAAUCUGGUCAGGUCCUUUAGUCACAGCAGUUAAAAAGCUGACUAAGAAAACUUCUACAGCAUCAGCCUUCAGGAUCUUACUAAUCACACAAGGUGGUAUAAGAUAGUUUUCAUUUAUCCAAACAUAUGGUAAGACUGUCCUGUGGUCGCAGGCCUCUCCUGGUUGACUUGUGGUUCUAUGAACUCAGCACUGUUCAAAUACUUGGCUGAUAUUCUGAUGAUUGGGAGAUUCAUCCCUCCAUUCUUUCAGCCCUAGUUUGCUGAGGUGGGCUCAUCAAGACCAAUUCCAUUCCAAUGGACUCUGUGUACUAAAGGACCUGGAAAAACAUACUAGAUGAUAGAAUUGUUUCCUGCUGUCCUGCCUUUAGCUAAAUUUAAAAAAAAAAAAAAACAUAUUCCAGCUAUUCAGCAGUUCUCACACUCUUUCUCUUUUCAUUUGCAGAAGCCCGAUUAGAAGCACACAGACACCUGUUCCUUCCUGGCUCCUUGGGAGAUAGUUUCUACCCUUGGUGUACUGGCAUUUUAGGAACCACUGAAACUCACCUUUAACACUGUUUAUUUUUAGUGUCCUGCAUUUAUAUUUAGAAGGGAAGAUCUGUCAGGCUUCCAGGAUCAUCAUUCCUGCAAUUUUUGCUGGAGCACGGGGACACCACGAGGAGGGAAAUUUAGUCAUGCAUGUAAUGCCCCCAUUUAUUUCCUGGAACUAGUGACCCAGCACAGGCACAUGUACCAAACCUACAAGGAGAAAGUGGGCUGACCUUCAGUUGCUUAGACCUGGCCAUUCACCAACACUUCCAAGUUAGGACAGGCCUGCUAAUGGACUUGGAAGUUUUCUAAGAGAAAGAACAGGUAGAAAUUUGUGAGGAUCAAGAGAGGCUGCUUGCUAGCCUGGCAAGGUGGCAUACAUCUGUGAUCCCAGAUACACAGGAAGCUGAGGCAGGAGGAUUGCAAGUUCAAGGCCAGCCUGGGAAACUUAGCAAGACAGUCUUUAAAUAAAUAAAUAAAUAAAUAAAUAGGUCAGGGUAUGCAGCUCAAUGGUAGAGUGUCCCUGGGCCCAAUCCCUAGCACUGCACACAAAAAAUAAAAAUCAGAAAAAACUCAAAAGGAGAGAGAGCAAUGCUUGCAAAAAAGCAGGUAAAAUUACUUCCAUCCUGCAAUCUUGCCCCUCUUUUCCUUUUAGUUCCUACAAAAUGUGUUCCUGUGCAUUUAAAUUUUUUAAAAACAAGUGCUAUAUAUAUUAAUAUAAAAUUUUGAAGGAAGAAUUGAUACAACAUAUCAUAAGGACCUAUAUUUCUAAUGUUUGAAACACUCUUAAGCAUCAAGUAAUAAAGGGCCAAAAAACCCUGUAGGAAAAAAAUGAUUAAGAUAAUUUUUAAAGAGAUGUAAAUAUGCCUUUAAACAUAUUAAAAGAUGCUCAAAUUCAUAAUUAAGGAAAUGAAACUUAAAAUUCCAUCUUUAAAAAAUGCUAUACCAUUUCUCAUCUAUAAAAUUUGUAAAAUUUCAAAAAGCAUGACAGAUGACAGCAGUGUCUUGCCGAGACUGUAGGAAACAGGCAUUUUCAUACACUGUGGUGGCAAAUUGGUAGACCCUGGAUGGAGGCAAGAUCAAAGUUCCCUGUGUACUUAUUUUCAAUCCAGAAAUCCCCAAAAUUUAGGAAUAUACCCUGAAGAUAUUCCCAAGAGCAGAAAAAUACCUUUUCAUAAGUUUAUUUAUCCCAGUAUUAUUUUCAAAUACAAAGUAUGGAAAACAAUCUAAAUGCUCAUGCAUAGGAGAUUAUCGGAAUACACUAAGAAAGUCACAUACUGGAGUGCUAUUCAGUUAUAUAAAUAAAUGUGGGAGAUCUCAAUGAUCUGAUAUGGAGAUAGUUCCAGAAUACAUUGUUAAAUGGAAAAAAGUGCAAAUGAGUACCCAGUAUGUUACCUUUCAUGUAGGAAAGGAGGAGCAAAAGUAUAUACAUACAUUUGCUCAGUUUCACACAAAUUAAUACAGGGAGAAUAAGCCUGAAACUGAGAUUGGCUCCCUAGAAGGAAGUCAGGAACAAAAUAGAUAAAAAGAAGGAAUGGAAUACAGGACAAGGGGUAUGCCUUUCUAUAAGGGUCUGACUUUCAGAGUUAUAAUGAUGUUGCACAUACUAAAAAGAAAAGGAAAUCAAUAAUUAAAUAAAAAUCAUUCUGGAGAUCCAUAAAAUAAAAUAUAAAUAACAACAAAUGAACCCAACUGGAUUACAAAUGGAUAGCAGAACCAUAGUGCAGAAGGUAGGAAGGAGAGAAGUAGGUAAUUCUAGAAACAGUAUCUUGGCUACAUUUAGUAAGACUAAAGUAAAAGUAUAGCUGAAUACAAAUGGUAUAUACUCUAGUCUGUAAUUUUACUUUUUAUGGAGAUAUUGAUUAGCAAUUCUGAAGCUAUUUUGGGUAUUCUAGGAUUGAGCAAAUAAGUAAUAUGGAUGAUGAAAGCCAAUUUUCUCAUUCUAAUAGAAAGGAAUUGUAGAUAAGAAUAGCUGAAAAGAAAACAGAAUUGGUGUUGUGGGUUUAGAUUAGAGAUGCUGAUAUAAAUUUAUGAUCAAUAUGAACUGUGUAUGUAUAUCUCCAUACACAUAUGUCUAUAUUCUUAGCUCUGUCUGCUCUAAGGGACUUAAAGCAAUCACGUUCCAGUACCAAAGAACAUAUUUACUGAUUAAAUAUUGGUUUAUAAAUAAUGUUUGCUUAUGACAAGAACCAAGGAUCUUUGGAGAAAUGGCAGAUUCCAGGUAUGGGCAGGAAGAAUAUAAGAACCAGGAAUAUCUUGUGGUGCCAUGAAGUGAGGAAGUACUCAAAAUAUGAUUGGGACAUGUGAAAAGGACAUACAGGUCAAAUUCAAGGGUCUCCCAAUGGUCAACCGUGUGAUAAUCUGACUAACAAAAUAUCUGUCAACAAUAAUAGAUUAUAACAAACAGAAUAAAAUAAAUAUCCAUGAGUCCCUAGUGAUACCAUUAAAUAAAUAAGUUUUUAAAAUGGAGGAGAGACAGCUUUCGCUCGUAGUAGAAUUUAAUCCACAAGGGUAGAGGAUGAUGAAACUAGAAAUUACUAACUGGGAAGCAAUUAGUAAUUAAUAUUAUAGGCAAGAAUCAUCAAUAGGAGUUAAAAUUAAAUUAAAUGUUAUAAAUUAUUAAAUGUUAGAGGCAAGAAUCAUCACUAGGGGUUAAAAUUACUACCAUAAAUAUGCUGAGAAAAAAAUAUUUGCCUGGUUUCUAUGUGUCUCCCCACAAUGGAGAAAAAGAAUAACUUCAAAGAAAAGAAACCCCAAUCUUAACCAGGCAAUCAAAGUUGAGAUCACCAAUAUGGAGACACCACAACAUCAGAUUUCUCCUGAUGUGCUGUGCUGCUUCUGUGGGGUUCAUGCCAAAAAUAUGUUACCUGAGUGUCUUCAGAAGGAAACAUCAGAUAAGCCUCCAAAUGCAUGCAUCCCACACAAUAGCAGGAAGGGUACCCAUCAAGGUCAUGAAAGACCAGAAAAACUGAGGACCAGCUGAGAUUGGAAGAUAGUAAAGUGAUAUGAAAACUUUAUCUUGGAACAGGAAAAGGACAACUAAUGAUACAACCAGAGACAUUUGAGAAGGUCUAUACACAGCUAAUAGCAUCAUAUUAAGGUUAGCUUCCUAUAAUGUGGUGAUAUAAGGUGUUAGCCUUUGAAAGAUACAAUGUCUUACAUAUUUUUUGUAACUUUUUUCUAAGUUCUAAAUUUUUUCAAAGUGAAGAGUUGAAAACAUUUUAGUUAAUUAAUUGAUUAAUUUUGAAAGGAAGAAAAGGGUACGUAAUGCCCUCACCAACAUACUCUCCAGGAAUCAGUUUUAUUCUAGCACAUAGUUCUUAAUAGUUUCUCAUAUAUCCUUCCAUAGAUUUUUCUACACAAAUAAAUACAAGUAUAUUCAUCAUAUAUGUUUAGGCAUAUACGUACUAGAGAGCCUCCAAUGAAAGUAUACAUUGUUAUUUUAAUGACUACAUUAUAUUAUAUAGAUAACCUGUGUCACCUGUUUUAAUUUCAUCAGUAAUUGACAUGAUAUUUCUAAUAUUUUGCUAUUAUGAACAAUAUUGUCAUGAAUGCUUCAUUUCCUAUAUAUACUUGUAUUUACAGUAAAAAUGCUUGGAAUUAAAAUUUCUGGUUUAAAAUGUAUAAAGAUUUUUAUUUUUAUUGACAAACUUACCUGUAGAGAAAGAAAUGCCUAUUCUUCACAUUCUCAUCAACACAGUAUAUGAAAUUGUCUUGGCCAAUAUGA